CAUAAACAACAUUAAAACAGGAACGUUAACUGUAACUAUAACAAGAAGAAUAAUGCUGAUGACUUAGGCGAUUAGAUCAUCGUCUACUAUGAAAUUCCUCUUACGUAAGUUCCUGAAAAAGAAAAUGAACACACUUAUGGUGAUCAUGUGGGAGGAAGGAAACGACGGAACAUCCGAACAACAGGUAAGCGAUCUACCAUGGAUUUGACAGUCGCGGUUUACGGGAUGACGAGCGAUGGGUGUUCACGAAGGUAGGAAAGAUAUGGGUAGCACUUAUUCGCGUGAGAAAUGUCUUCGGAUACCACCUCUUAUGUUAGAUGCGAACCUAUACACCAGUUACACUCGGCAAAGUGACAGAUACGAAUGCGAGUUUUCUCCUGCGUGGUUUAGUAUCGAUAUCAAGUCAUAUUAUCCUAUCGUGUACAAGCAUAUACGCGAGAUACGCGUAUAUUAUAAUAUAAUUCAUUCCUUAUGCGUAUAUACCACCACGUAUCAAUACAUUUACAUAAAGAUUACGUACGCGGUAUGGUGCUCCUCGUCGUACCAGGUUUAAACCAUUAAAUUUUUAAAUUAAUCUUCCCAAGGAGAACACGAAAAAAAAAGAAAAAAGAAACUAAAAAGUGUCAUGCGUGUUUCUUCGCGAUAACCAAAACAACGAAAGUGGUGGUAACGUUUCCUGUCUAAUGAUGAUGAUGAUGAUGAUGAUGGUGCUGGUGAUGAUCGUAAUCGCUGAUUAGAAUGAUGGAUACUUAACACACUUUCGAGGAUCUCGCUAACGUUAUUAAUGAUGUCUAGAAAUAGAUUCGUAAGUUCUACUUUUCUUUUCUUUUCUUUUCUUUUCUUUCCUUUUUUGUUAGGAGAGUUAAGGUUGGAUUUUAUCGACUCUAAUGGCUUGUGAGAUUUUUUUAAAACGAGACGGGCUGGUCUAGUGGUAGGAAGGAAGGAAGGUAGAAAAGUCAA